rnacentral:rRNA from 1 species
UGAGGAAUAUUGGUCAAUGGGCGGAAGCCUGAACCAGCCAAGUAGCGUGAGGGAUGACUGCCCUAUGGGUUGUAAACCUCUUUUAUAAGGGAAUAAAAUACGGGACGUGUCCUGUUUUGCAUGUACCUUAUGAAUAAGGACCGGCUAAUUCCGUGCCAGCAGCCGCGGUAAUACGGAAGGUCCGGGCGUUAUCCGGAUUUAUUGGGUUUAAAGGGAGCGCAGGCGGUCUUAUAAGCGUGACGUGAAAUGCAUAGAUAUGACGCAGAACUCCGAUUGCGAAGACAGCUUUCCAGCGCGCUACUGACGCUGAGGCACGAAAGCGUGGGGAUCGAACAGGAUUAGAUACCCUGGUAGU